UUUAUGGGACUGAGAUGCAAAGUUCCAAGGCAUCCAGGGUUGGGAUCAACACAGGGCCAUAAAGAAGGACCAACUGUGGCUGCCUCCCUAGGUCCCCUUCCCUUUCUUCUCCAGGAAGGUCAAAGCUCCCAGCCAUCUAGGUCUCUAGGCCAGAAUCUAAUCUCCACCUCUUGGGGGUUUUUUUUGUUUUGUUUUGUUUUGUUUUUUCUUUUCUUUUUUUCGGAGCUGGGGACUGAACCCAGGGCCUUGCCCCUCACCUCUUGGUUUUUGAGUGUAGGAGACAGAGCUGCAACUUGCUAGCACCACUUCAGGCUGGGCAUUGGUGACACCUACUGCUAGCUUCUCCUCAACCCAGGAAAGCAAGUGUUGAUAGCAUCCUGGUGUGGGAAGUAAGGACCCGAGCUCAGGCAGGAGAGUGGGCUUCCUUGGGUUGCAGCUGGAUAGCAGAUGGCCUGGGGUUGAGACCUGCCCCAUGACUGCCAAGCUUUGGGAUCACCAGAAAGCCACCAAGGGCUCUAGGCAUGUUGUUCUAAGAAAGGAUGUUUACUCUAACCUGCAGCCGGAAACCAGGGUCAGGGAAUGAGUGUGAACCCUGUUUUUGGGAUGCUUUUUGUAGAACAUGAAAUAUACAAAAGUCCAUGGUGGCCCCCUGGCUGUACCCUCCCCCAGCAGUGAGUCCAGCUAUGACCUCUCCAGCAAAG
rnacentral:lncRNA from 1 species